CGCUGGCGCGUUCCAGGUGAGCGCGGCGGCCACUCGGCCGCAGCGCGCUGUCUCCGGCGGGUGUCGGCGCCCCGCCUGCUGCCGGCCCCAGAGUCUGCGUUCGGCCGUGGGCUCUGCGAAUGGCUGCGUGGGGGCCCCCAGCCGGGCAACGAGGCGCACUGCAGCCUUGUGACGCUGGACCUGGGCCAGUCACGUCUGGGGCGACGCCUGGGGUCGGUUCUGCCACUUACUUUAGGUUGAUGUUUGCAGAGUGCUUUGGCCAUCAAAGCGCGGUCAUUGUCUAAAGAAGCAAGAGAUGCCGCAAUAGUUCAGUGGAGGGAAGCACAGGGAUACCGUGCUAUUACUACAGUCCAGCACACAGCAGGAGCUUGGAUUUUAAGAAAUCUGUUUGGUAAACAAAAGCUGGGAGUAGAAGCUAGUGAAUAAACAAUAUGGACAAUGGGAGAAGAUUGCAAAACAUACAUUGAGGAUAACUGGAGUAAGUCAGUUAAUGACACAGGACACUUGGACUUGCAUGAUGACAGUGGGCCCACUGUAAGUCUCAAGGGGCUCCUCUGGUUCACAUGGAAAUGAAGCAGUGGGAGCCAUUGUUUCCCAAGAGAGUAAGGAAAUCUGUGAGACAAGUUCAAACAAAGGGGUAGAUUCAUCACUGCUGCACUGACUAGAAGUUGGAUAGUCAUCCCAUCCAUUGUCAAUUUAAUUUUACAGCCAAACCACUAGAAAAAGUGAAGAUGGCCAUUGGACCUGCCUGCAUCUGAAGGGGUGGAAAGGCUGUGGAUUUCUGACAUUUCUGAUUGUUCUUGUUCCUUAUUGGAAUGCUGUUUGUGUGUUCAGGCAGAAUGCCUGUCCCAAAGUCAACAAUCCAGCCUGUUCCAAAGUCACACGCUGGGUAGAAUUAGUCCCUUUGACUGUGUCACUCCGACAGUCUAUAUUUCACACCCUGUUUGCCAGGGCAGUGUUUUCCCCAGGAAUUGAAAUUAGGGGUGUGUGUUAAAAAAUACGUGUGUCUAUGUGUGUGAGGACUGAUGAGGGACGAUACCAUUAGGGCGAAGAUGGGCUGUAUGGCACCAUAGUAAAAACUGAAUAAUGUGUCACAACCAUUUUAUUAGAUUUAACUCAUGUUUUUAAAUCAUCACACAAAUUAAAGUUGGCUACACAAGUCUACUAGGAAGCACUACAUCUACAUCUUUCUUGUUGUAAUUUUGCACAACUCCGUUAAUGAACUUCUUGAAUGCAGUGCAUUCAUCUUUGGUGUCUUCUCAUGUGUCCGGUACUCCCAGUCCUUCAUGGUACACUCAUGAUCAUGCAGAAGGCGACUUCUUUCAGAACACAAAAUUCUAUUCAAUGAGGAAAAAGAACGCUCAGCUGGAGCUGUUGUGAGGGGGAGUAGAAAGAGAUGAAUUCCUACGUAUUUAAUUCCAGGAAACAUAACACAAAAAUUGGGUCAAACCACUAGCGAUGAUAAAAAAGAAGUUGAAGUCAAAUCUUCAUUCAUUUGUCGUAUGAUAUUCCAUUCUUUGUUCAAAUUCUCUAUUCUGUCCUGAUCCCGUGGCAGCCCCAUUGUAGGUAGUGCCUCACUCCACUCAACUGUUGGUGUUUUAUUAGACAGGCUUCUGUAAAAGCUAUGUAGAGGUUGAUAGAAUCCAGAAGUUGCUGUUGUAGAGAUGUAAGAAUCAAGUCUGUGUACUUUACUUUUUCAGUGGGCUUAACAAGCACUUCUUGUCUUCUUCGCUUAAAGAAUCAAUAUAAGUGCCCUAAUUAGUCAACUUCUGAACUGAAGUCUUUGUUUCUUCCGUUUUCAGUGGAUAUCUCUCUGAUUGAUCCAAGCGUAGCUUCAAUUGCUGGACAGAGAUCUACCACUGUUGUAGCAGAUGCCUGGAUGGCAUUGUUUAAUGACCCAAGGGUUUCAACAGUAGACUUACAAGAGAGAAUGGCGAUGGUUUUCUCUGAACUUAGUAGCAAAAACAGGCCACUAGCCUCACUACUUAGAUCCGUCCUAUCUUGGUAGAUACUUUCCAAAGCCAAUAAUAAUGGUUUUAGUAAUUUUAAGCCAACAGCCAAGGAUCGCUCAUAAGAAAGCCAGUAGGUUUUCCCAGGUUGGACCAAUCUGAACUUCAGCCCCAGUGUAUCUUCUGUAUUUUCCAAGAUGUUCAGUCCUUUUCGAAGCUUGCUCAAAAAAGGGUAUAAUAAAGAUAUUAAAUUUAUAGCUUUUUAAAUGCCUUUUGAAGAUUCUGCAGCUCAUACUAGUUCUAGUUAGAGUAGGUAGCCUCUGCAGGGUAUAUAGGAGAAUUUAGAGUUACACUUUUCUCUGAGCAAAGCUUGUACUCCACUAUGUUUGCUAGAGAAGUUUGCAACUCCCUCAAAUGCACAAGUAGCCAUCUCUUUGGGGUUCAAUCUACAACCAUUUAGCUCUUCUAAGAUGUGGGUUGUCAGAGAUGCAGCCGAUGUGUCUUCUAUAACCUGAACUAUGACAUUGCACUCCAUAUGCUUUAUGAAAAUAUGCUUAUGAAUGUGAAUAUGAUGUAACUGGAAUAUGCUUUAUGCAAAAGGUCUCUUGUAAGGUGUCAUUACAAAACUUAUAAUCUACUGAGUGUGUUCAUCCUAUUUGUUUGCAUGUAUUAUUUCUAUGUCUGAAGUUAGGAGAAUAAGAUAUAACCUUGUAUCAUUGAUGUAAACAUAUUAAGUGGAAGCCAUUAAAGGUGUUUCAGAAUCAAUG